AGUGAACGCUGGCGGUAGGCCUAACACAUGCAAGUCGAACGGCAGCACAGUAAGAGCUUGCUCUUACGGGUGGCGAGUGGCGGACGGGUGAGGAAUACAUCGGAAUCUACUUUUUCGUGGGGGAUAACGUAGGGAAACUUACGCUAAUACCGCAUACGACCUACGGGUGAAAGCAGGGGAUCUUCGGACCUUGCGCGAUUGAAUGAGCCGAUGUCGGAUUAGCUAGUUGGCGGGGUAAAGGCCCACCAAGGCGACGAUCCGUAGCUGGUCUGAGAGGAUGAUCAGCCACACUGGAACUGAGACACGGUCCAGACUCCUACGGGAGGCAGCAGUGUGGAAUAUUGGACAAUGGGCGCAAGCCUGAUCCAGCCAUACCGCGUGGGUGAAGAAGGCCUUCGGGUUGUAAAGCCCUUUUGUUGGGAAAGAAAAGCAGCAGGUUAAUAUCCCGCUGUUCUGACGGUACCCAAAGAAUAAGCACCGGCUAACUUCGUG
rnacentral:rRNA from 1 species